rnacentral:tRNA from 1 species
AUAAAGGUAAGCUAAAUAAGCUAAAGGGCUCAUAUCCCUUUUAUAGAGUUUUAAACUCUCCUUUCUA